rnacentral:rRNA from 1 species
UGGGGAAUAUUGGACAAUGGGGGCAACCCUGAUCCAGCGACGCCGCGUGUGUGAAGAAGGCCUGCGGGUUGUAAAGCACUUUUAGUGGGGAUGAAAAGUGCAGAGAUAACACCUCUGCAUCUUGACCUAACCCACAGAAAAAGCACCGGCUAACUCUGUGCCAGCAGCCGCGGUAAUACGUAGGCAGCAAGCGUUGUUCGGAGUUACUGGGCGUAAAGAGUGCGUAGGUGGUGCCCUAAGCCUGUUGUGAAAUCUCCCGGCUUAACUGGGAGGGUGCGGUGGAAACUGGGGUGCUUGAGUGUGGGAGAGGUAAGCGGAAUUCCUGGUGUAGCGGUGAAAUGCGUAGAUAUCAGGAGGAACACCGGUGGUGUAGACGGCUUACUGGACCACGACUGACACUGAGGCACGAAAGCGUGGGUAGCAAACAGGAUUAGAUACC